UGGGCCGAGCUGGGGGAUCCGAUGACGUCACGCACCAAACACUGUCACUCACUCCCUCUCUCUCUACCUCUGUCUUUCGCUCUCCCCUCUCCCUCUUUCAGAUGUUCUAUUCUGGGAAAUUGUGCCAGGAAUAAUAGCUUCGGCGUCUUCCUCACAAACUGAAAAAUCGUGUCGAGGAGGAUGUUUUACUCACAAGGUGUCUUCAUUUAGUAGCAGCAUAAGGCUUUAGAAUAGUCAUACGGAAGUCGAUCUUUUUUUGGUGCUAAUUCUUGUUUAAUUUUUCACUCUUGAGUCUUGAACGCUUUUAUCCGACAAUUAGCGAAGUGUCAAGAGCGUUGUCAUAGGUUGCAAUUUAUUUGGGAUUUUACCGGACGUGGGUUUUUGCACGGCACCUGAAGUGUGACACGGCUGUGCCGAUGCCCUGGAGGAGUGUGAACGCUGUGUGACGUCCUCGCAAGUCGCUCUCCUUGGCUGCACAACAGGAAACACUUGUGGCCUCCCUCCUUCCUGCGCUCAGAAAGAGGGCGUGUGAAGAGGGUGUGUGCCUGGAUAGGCUUGCCAGGACUGCCAGGCAGAA